AACGCAUCUUGCACCCUUUGGCAUUCCGAAGGGUAUGCCUGUUUGAGUGUCUUUAACAACAUCAACUCCCUCCGUGAGGGUAAAGCCUCUGGGGUGGAUGUUGGACGUGAGUGCUGCCGUGAUUCUUUCAUCGGCUCACUUGAAAAUCGUUAAGCCUGGUCUUCGACGGUCUUGACUCCUGUCGGGUUGGUGUGGUAGAACUCCCUGUGGGAUGCAAAUCACCUCCGAUGGAUGCAGGUCGACCUUGGGGUGGGCUUUUGUUUGUGACCAUGCCUCGGGGCGUGACACUUUUACCAAUCAGACCUCAAAUCAGGUAGGACUACCCGCUGAACUUAA
rnacentral:misc_RNA from 1 species